rnacentral:lncRNA from 1 species
GAGAUGAGGACAGGCUGGGUCCAGGAAGGGCUGCAGGAAUAGGGGGCACCUGAGCCUGCAGAAAGCGGGGAGCCCAGCCGCCAGAGCAGGCACCCCCAGGCAGACCUCAGUGUGUCCUGCCCUGUGGGAGUGGCAAGGCCAGACCAAGCUGGAUGUGAACCAGUCCCAGAACACCGCCUAGAAUUUGGAUUGUAAUUUGUUAUCGAUGAUAUUGCUGCUUGGUCUCUCUCCUCUUCCUCCCCACCCCCACCCAAGAUGGAGUCUGGCUUUGUCCCCCAGGCUGGAGUGCGAUGGCAGGAUCUCGGCUCACUGCAACCUCCGCCUCCUGGGUUCAAACAAUUCUCCUGCCUCAGCCUCCCAAAUAGCGGGGAUUACUGGUGCGUGCCACCACACCCAGCUAAUUUUUGUAUUUUUGGUAGAGACGGGGUUUCAUCAUGUUGGCCAGGCUAGUCUCAAACUCCUGACGUCGUGAUCCGCCCACCUCAGCCUCCCGAAAUGCUUUGGGAUUACGGGUGUGAGCCGCCGCGCCGAGCAUGGCCAUCGUGGCUACAUCAGUCCCGGCUAAUAGAGAUUUUAGCACACUCAGAUUCUAUUGGCUAAUAAGAUUUAAUUAUAAUUCUGGGGUAUUUAACAAUGUCGUUAUACAGUCUUCAUUGUUGCAAAUGGAGAAUGAAAUCGGGUGCAUGUGACACUAAUAUGACCUGUUCAUGCUCUGUCACUUAAACGGAGUUAAGUAACAUAGCCCUGAGCAGGAAGACUCCUUCCCCACUUCUGUCCAGGAGCUCCUUACUCGAUUCUGGGGAACAGAAAGGCUUUCAGCGGCCAAGGGGAGUGACAACAGCCAGACAUGAGACACCUCCUAGAGCCCUUUGGUGUUACCCUUUCCGGUCCAUCAGCCACAGUGUCCACCCCAGGUAGCUGGGUCCUGAGUUCACCGUCUCAGGACAUUUUUCGACCUGGUUUGUCUGAAUUAUUAUUAUUAUUGAUCAUUGAGACAGGGUCUCAGUCCAUCGCCAAGACUGGAGUGCAGUGGUGUGAUCCUGGCUUACUCAGCCUCCCAGGCUCAGGUGAUCCUCCCAGCUCAGCCUCCUGCGUAGCUGGGACCACAGGCAGGCACCACCAUGCCUGGCUAAAUUUUUUGUAUUUUUUGUAGAGACCAGCUCUCGCUAUGUUGUCCAGGUUGGUCUCAAACUGCUGCCUCAGCCUCCCAAGGUGCUGGGAUUACAGGCAUGAGGGACCAAGCUCAGCAAUCUGAAUUAUUUAUGCAGAAUUUUUUUUUCUCUAGCUGGAAGAGCUGUUUAUAUGCACGUUUCUUUGGGGGCAACUCUUCUCCAUUGUCACAGAUUUUUUUUUUCCAAGCCAUUCCUGGGGGAUUCCUGGGAGCCAUGUGGGAGAGGCGUGAGGAAGUGAGACCUUCACCCCGAGACAGGUCCUGACACACCCUCUGGUGCCUCUACUCAAGUGAGGUGAGAGGGGAAACUGGUGUAUUUUUAGAUGAAGUUUCCUUGGGAAAUUGUUUCUAUUUUAUAUUUUAUCAGUAAUCCCCUGGCUAAUGUUUUAAACCAAUAUUUAUAACACUGCCUCAGAGCUUUGGAAUAAACAGAUUUCCAUAAAGAAAAGCUGCUUUAGAGUGCUACACUGUAAGAGGGGCCGGGCAAACAAGAAGGGACGGAGGAAAGACCACCAAGUGAGAGGCACAGGUGUCAGGACACACAGAGAGCCCGAAAACGAGGCAGAGUUUGGCUGCUGUAACUGACUGGGAAGCUUAAAAUAACAGACAAUCAUCUCUCACAUUUAUGGGGACUGGGAAGUCCAAGACCAAGUUGCCAUCUGGGGAGGGCCUGUUCCUCACAGCGCCUUCCAGCUCAGGCCUCGUUUAUAAGGGCACUCAAGCCUUCCACGACAACGGGUCCUCAUGACUUACUCACCUCGGAAAGCCCCACCCCCAAGACCAUCACAUUGUGGGUGAUGGCAGAGCAUAAGGUGCCUUCCCCACAUGCUCGGGUUGGCCCAGCGUCUCACGCUAGCAGCUACGUGGAAUAGUUAUUUUUUCUGGAGAACUCUGGGACCCCUCUGAUGUCUUGGAGCACCCACACAGGCCGUUCACUGUGCACGCUGUGAGGCUGUCGUCUUGGAGCACCCACACAGGCCGUUCACUGUGCACGUGGUGAGGCUGUCCUCUGGGGAGUUCUGCUGUUGUAUGGGUUCUGUCUGUGUCAAUGUCCCAGCGGGAACGCAGGGCACACUAGCGUCAUCCCCAGAGGGCUUGGUAAGGGGACUGUUUGCAGAGACAUAGGCAGAGGGCUGGAAAACUACCAAAAAAGUGCAGUGUUCUGGACCUAAUAAUAGCAGAGCUAUUCUCACCCUGGUCUGAAGGCAGGAGGGGAGGAGCAGUUAAUGGAUUCUGGAAGUCAGGUUGCACAGAGUCACCUUGAAAGAUGCCAUGACCUUCACCGAGGGCCAGACAGAGACUAAGAUGACCCCAUAGGAGAAUAAGACCUAGACCUCAUCCUCCUGCCUCCUGCCAGUCCCUGCCAGGGGUCGCCAAUGGCAAAACAGGACUGGAAGCCAGAGGCCAUGGAAGCCCAUGGAUGAAGUCCACAGGCCAGCCUCCCCGAGAGCAGCCUGGACGGUCCGCAGGAGACGUCUCCUGUCUUAGGCGUCCCACGCCGCGUGCUCCUGUUCAGCCCUGCCGAGGUGGAAGCUUGGAGUGGCUCACGGUGGAUGCAUUGACGCUGCAGACGCCAGCAAGUGCUACAAACCAGAGCUGGCCUUUAACUCAGACUGAUGGAGAAGGUGUUAAUAAUGCAGAUUAGACUUAAAAGUGUUGAAGCCAUUGCACUGUGAACAGCAAAAAAAUUGAAGAACUCUUCUGGCAUUUAAAAACAAUUACUCAGUUCAGCAGAGAAGUCACUGACAAACGAGAUCACACUGACUGCUUUGUCGUUUUGGUUUUGUCUUACUCAUUAAUGCAAAUAAGAACAUUCACUAGCAUCUGUGUCGGGCCUACCCUCCCUGGUCAAAUACAGCUACAGUCUCCCUGCAGAAACGAGUUUUCCAGAAAUGAGCCGAUGUUUUCUGCGAGAAUCAAUUGGUCAUAUACAAUUUACAAAAAUGAGUACUGUAUACUAUAUUUGUAAACUGUACACUGCAGAUGCUUUAUUUCACUGAAAUUUAUAAUACACUUAUCCAUGUAUAUGCAUGCAUGCAUUUUUGUUCCUGAGAUCCAGCUGUGAAAUGUUUACCAGCACAUAAAUUACCAGCACAUGCUCUUUUUUGUUAACCUACUAGGUAAAAUCUUCAUUUAUUACAUCAAAUUCUUGUAGUUUUUGUAUUGCAAUUAUGCAGAUAUUGAUUAUCGCAGUAUUACUGCAAUUAUACAGAUACCA